AUAUAUAUAUAUAUAUAUAUAUAUAUAUAUAUAUAUAUAUAUAUAUAUAUAUAUAAUGUAUAGUCCUUUGCACACUACAUUGUGAUACAUUUUCAUUUAGAUAGUGGCUGAGAAUCUGAGAAUCAUUCUUUAAUUCAACUACAGCCACAGUGCUUUGUCCGUGUCAUUGUAUUCAGUGCAUGGAUACAGAUGAUCACAAUUGAAUUAUGUGCAUCACAAAGGAGAGUACUAGCUAGAAAUAGCAAUGGGCACAACCAUUGUUUCCUCGGCCUUGUAUAAAUGGCAUGCGAGUGUGUGUCUCUGGAAUGCACAGCACUCGGCAGCAGCAUUACCGGGGCUGCACAACAUGUGCAUUCGAUCUAUCACAUCAAUCUAGGUCAACUUCUUCACCAAUUUACACUGCAACUAGGAUUCUCAUUUCAUGAUGACCCAAAAGGAAAUCAACAAUAAAUUGCAGGCUGAUACAAACAAACGUAAUUUCAGUAAGAAUCACUUGAAAAUCCUAAAUGUGUCCAAUGGAAAAGAAAAAAUGGCAAGAACAGGUUUCAAUGCCAUGGUGAUAUUAAACAGGUUUCAAUGCCAUGGUGAUAUUAAACAGGUUUCAAUGCCAUGCUGAUAUUAAACUGGUUUCAAUGCCAUGUUGAUAUUAAACUUGCACUAGGCGAAUGUGCAACAAUCUUCUGCUUUUUAAUAGAAAUCUACCAUUGUUUGAACUACCAGGAUUUGAAUUGCAUUCUGGGGAAACUUAUUGCUGGACUGGUCUGGAUUUAAAAAAAGAAGAAAAAGGUUUGGUUUCUGUGUAGAAGAAAUUGGUAUGGCACAAAAAGUAAGAACUCAGUCCAGAAAAGAGCUUUCUUUUCUCUUCUUUACAGCUUCACUCCGGUGGAACGAACAGCUUAAUCAAACAUGCUGGUUUCCUUUAUCUGCAGCAAACAACAAAAAGAAAAUCUGCACAGUAUUUUGGUACAUUCUGCAGAACCCUUCCACCCUCAGCCAAUUAAAAAAAAUAAAAAAAAUCAAGCUUAAAAUGUUACAAUCUAUACAAAAUGAAUAACACUAGUGUUGGCACUGGCAGCUAUCCCUGGGCUGAAAGGUUCACUUCCAAAUUCUGUUGCCUACACCAAAUUGUUCCCUUACACAAAAAACAAACACAGACGCACCAUCGCGCUCAGGUUCUGCUUUCUACCUGGCUUUACAAGAUACAAGAGUAUUACUUUUUUUU